GAUCCUGGCUCAGGACGAACGCUGGCGGCGUGCCUAAUACAUGCAAGUCGAACGAGAGCGACCGGUGCUUGCACUGGUCAAUCUAGUGGCGAACGGGUGAGUAACACGUGGGUAACCUGCCCAUCAGAGGGGGAUAACAUUCGGAAACGGAUGCUAAAACCGCAUAGGUUCUUUAGUCGCAUGACUGGAGAAGGAAAAGAGGCUUCGGCUUCUGCUGAUGGAUGGACCCGCGGUGCAUUAG
rnacentral:rRNA from 1 species